rnacentral:rRNA from 1 species
UACAGAGGGGGCAAGCGUUGUUCGGAAUUACUGGGCGUAAAGGGCGCGUAGGCGGCCUGUUAAGUCGAACGUGAAAUCCCUGGGCUCAACCCAGGAACUGCGUCCGAUACUGGCAGGCUUGAAUCCGGGAGAGGGAUGUGGAAUUCCAGGUGUAGCGGUGAAAUGCGUAGAUAUCUGGAGGAACACCGGUGGCGAAGGCGGCAUCCUGGACCGGUAUUGACGCUGAGGUGCGAAAGCGUGGG